rnacentral:rRNA from 1 species
UUGCCAGCCCGCUCAGAAACUCAAAGGACUUGACGGGGCCCGCACAAGCGGAGGAGCAUGUGGUUUAAUUCGAUGAUACGCGAGGAACCUUACCUGGGCUCGAACGUAAGAUGACUGUAGGUGAAAGCUUACAUCUCUUCGGAGCAUUUUACGAGGUGCUGCAUGGUUGUCGUCAGCUCGUGCCGUGAGGUGUCGGGUUAAGUCCCAUAACGAGCGCAACCCCUACCUUUAGUUGCCAUCAGGUAAUGCUGGGGACUCUAAAGGAACUGCCUACGCAAGUAGUGAGGAAGGCGGGGAUGACGUCAAAUCAGCACGGCCCUUACGUCCAGGGCUACACACGUGCUACAAUGGCCGAUACAGAGGGCAGCUACCUGGUGACAGGAUGCAAAUCUCCAAAGUCGGUCUCAGUUCGGAUCGGAGUCUGCAACCCGACUCCGUGAAGUUGGAUUCGCUAGUAAUCGCGCAUCAGCCAUGGCGCGGUGAAUACGUUCCCGGGCCUU